GAUGGGCGUGCGGCUGAUUAGGUAGUUGGCGGGGUAAUAGCCCACCAAGCCUACGAUCAGUAACUGGUGUGAGAGCACGACCAGUCACACGGGCACUGAGACACGGGCCCGACUCCUACGGGAGGCAGCAGUAAGGAAUAUUGGUCAAUGGACGCAAGUCUGAACCAGCCAUGCCGCGUGGAGGAUGAAGGCCCUCUGGGUUGUAAACUUCUUUUAUUUGGGAAGAAACCCAUCUUUUCUAAGGUGGUUGACGGUACCAGAUGAAUAAGCACCGGCUAACUCCGUGCCAGCAGCCGCGGUAAUACGGAGGGUGCAAGCGUUAUCCGGAUUCACUGGGUUUAAAGGGUGCGUAGGUGGGCAGGUAAGUCAGUGGUGAGAUCUCUGGGCUUAACCCAGAAACUGCCGUUGAUACUAUCUGUCUUGAAUGUAGUGGAGGUGAGCGGAAUAUGUCAUGUAGCGGUGAAAUGCUUAGAUAUGACAUAG
rnacentral:rRNA from 1 species